GAUGAACGCUGGCGGCGUGCCUAAUACAUGCAAGUCGAGCGAACAGACGAGGAGCUUGCUCCUCUGACGUUAGCGGCGGACGGGUGAGUAACACGUGGAUAACCUACCUAUAAGACUGGGAUAACUUCGGGAAACCGGAGCUAAUACCGGAUAACAUGUUGAACCGCAUGGUUCAACAGUGAAAGACGGUCUGGCUGUCACUUAUAGAUGGAUCCGCGCCGCAUUAGCUAGUUGGUAAGGUAACGGCUUACCAAGGCAACGAUGCGUAGCCGACCUGAGAGGGUGAUCGGCCACACUGGAACUGAGACACGGUCCAGACUCCUACGGGAGGCAGCAGUAGGGAAUCUUCCGCAAUGGGCGAAAGCCUGACGGAGCAACGCCGCGUGAGUGAAGAAGGUCUUCGGAUCGUAAAACUCUGUUAUUAGGGAAGAACAAAUGUGUAAGUAACUAUGCACGUCUUGACGGUACCUAAUCAGAAAGCCACGGCUAACUACGUG
rnacentral:rRNA from 1 species